CAAAUAUUCAAAUGAGAACUUUGAAGGCCGAAGUGGAGGG
rnacentral:rRNA from 11 species